rnacentral:rRNA from 1 species
CCUACGGGUGGCAGCAGUGAGGAAUAUUGGUCAAUGGGCGGAAGCCUGAACCAGCCAAGUCGCGUGAGGGAAUAAGGCCCUACGGGUCGUAAACCUCUUUUGCUGGGGAGCAAGGGCCGGGACGAGUCCCGGUCCGGAGAGUACCCGGAGAAAAAGAAUCGGCUAACUCCGUGCCAGCAGCCGCGGUAAGACGGAGGAUGCGAGCGUUAUCCGGAUUUAUUGGGUUAAAGGGGUGCGUAGGCGGGCUUUUAAGUCAGCGGUAAAAAUUCGGGGCGCAACCCCGUCCGGCCGUUGAAACUGGGGGCCUUGAGUGGGCGAGAAGAAGGCGGAAUGCGUGGUGUAGCGGUGAAAUGCAUAGAUAUCACGCAGAACCCCGAUUGCGAAGGCAGCCUUCCGGCGCCCUACUGACGCUGAGGCACGAAAGUGCGGGGAUCGAACAGGAUUAGAUACCCCUGUAGUC